ACACGUAGGGGCCUGACGUUGUUCGGAAUCAUUGGGUUUAAAGGGUGCGCAGGCGGCCAUUUAAGUCAGCGGUUAAAUCGUGGGGCUCAACCCCAUUCUGCCGUUGAUACUGGGUGGCUUGAUUGCGGUCGAGGUUGGCGGAAUUCGUUGUGUAGCGGUGAAAUGCAUAGAUAUGACGAAGAACACCGAUUGCGUAGGCAGCUGACCAGACCGCAAAUGACGCUCAUGCACGAAAGUGCGGGGAUCGAACAGGAUUAGAUACCCUGGUAGUCCGCACAGUAAACGAUGAAUACUUGUUUUCGGCGAUAUAAUGUCGGAGGCAAAGCGAAAGCGAUAAGUAUUCCACCUGGGGAGUACGCCGGCAACGGUGAAACUUAAAGGAAUUGGCGGGG
rnacentral:rRNA from 1 species